rnacentral:miRNA from 1 species
AGCGGGUUUGGAAGGUGCUUGUGUUCAAAGCCUCCUUCCCCGUGAAGGCUCAUCUUGGCAGCUCCGCUCUGCUCUGG